UCCGGCUUAUCACCGGCGGUCCCUUUAGAGUGCCCAACUAAAUGCUGGCAACAUACGACGGGGGUUGCGCUCGUUGCGGGACUUAACCCAACAUCUCACGACACGAGCUGACGACAGCCAUGCACCACCUGUGAAGAUCCAGCCGAACUGACCCCGUGUUUCCACGGGUACGAUCCACAUGUCAAGCCCAGGUAAGGUUCUUCGCGUUGCGUCGAAUUAAACCACAUGCUCCGCUGCUUGUGCGGGCCCCCGUCAAUUCCUUUGAGUUUCAGUCUUGCGACCGUACUCCCCAGGCGGCGAACUUAACGCGUUAGCUUCGAUACUGAGAGCCUAAUUGCUCCCAACAUCCAGUUCGCAUCGUUUAGGGCGUGGACUAC
rnacentral:misc_RNA from 1 species